GGUCCAGGAUAGGUGAGAUUAGGUCGAGUCAUGGGUGUACAUGGGCUUGGGUUAACCUAAUCUCUCAUAGAGUUGAUCAAGGGAGUUUUGGGUUUGGGUCACUUGAUCCUGUGUUUAUAUAUACAUGUACUUGUAUAGGUUUGAUCAAGACAAAGAAAAUACAGACUCUUUCUCCCAAGUCUCUCUCUUUCUUCUUCCUCUCUCUCCAGCCAUUCUCCAUGCCCCAGGAGCAAGAAACCCUAGGGUUUCUUGCCGCCAGGUCCAUAAAAGGAAAGAAAAGCAAGGAGGCGCUAGCCCCUUCCCCCUUGCAGCCGUCGACUCUCUCUCUUCUCCCUCUCUUGCAGCCAUCUAAACAUCAGAUCCAAGACCUAGAAUCUCUUGAAAAAAGGUUAAUACAAGUCCAUCUCAGAUCUGGAGUUGAUCUGAGGUCGUUUGAGGUGCGGGUGAGAUCUCCAUC
rnacentral:lncRNA from 1 species